rnacentral:rRNA from 1 species
UACGGAGGUGGCAAGCGUUGUUCGGAAUUACUGGGCGUAAAGGGCGCGUAGGCGGGGAGGUAAGUCGGGUGUGAAAUCCCUCGGCUCAACCGAGGAACGGCGCUCGAAACUGCUUCUCUUGAGUCCCGGAGAGGAAGGUGGAAUUCCCGGUGUAGCGGUGAAAUGUGUAGAGAUCGGGAGGAACACCGGUGGCGAAGGCGGCCUUCUGGACGGUGACUGACGCUGAGGCGCGAAAGCGUGGGGAGCAAACGGG